GGCUCCGUGGCGGAGAGCUACGCGCAGGACUGCAAAUCCUGAUACCCUUGGUUCAAAUCCAGGGCGGAGCCU
rnacentral:tRNA from 1 species